ensembl:lncRNA
CUUGGCUCUCACUGGCAUUGUGAGUGAGGUCAUAGAGGGAGGGGACCAUGGAGAAGACCUCUAGGAGGGCAGCAGUAAAACACGCCAUCGGGAGGCAGGAGAGGACCCUUGAGUCAUGGGGUCCUUGGCAGCUGUCUUUGAGAGGGCUCAUAGAAACACGGAAAUCUAAGCAAUGCGAGUAUGAGAGGUGAUUCCUACUCUGGAAAUGGGAGGAAAUGGAAAUAAGAGAGAUGGAAAAUCAAGAUGAAGGUGAACACUGUUUCUAAGAAACUAGUGUGAGAAGAUAUUUUGGAAGCUCUUUUGUUUUGUUUAUUAACGGGAAAGGAAUUAUAAAUAGACCUACCAGUCCUGGAUGAACCUGUCAAUCAAAAAAUAUUGCCUGCUGUGUCAGUUAACCAAGGAUGUUGCAGCCCUCAAGCCACCUCAGACUGACAGUGAGCCCUGAGAGAACUCAGGGUGGAAUCAAGAGGACUGCCAAGCCCUCAGCCCCUGCAGCCACGCCCUCGACAAUGGUGCACCCUGAAGAGACUCAGGAUGGGAAAGGAAAGCACAGGAUACUGCACCUGGAUAGCUGAGGUGUGUGUCAAAGGAAUGGUUUCAGUGAGCUCAGACUCUCGCAUCUUCCCUUGCGCAGAGGAGCGCUAAGUUCCUUAACUUGAGAACCCUGGUUUUCUUGAAUUAACAGUAAUCAUUUGAUGUCCUG